rnacentral:rRNA from 1 species
CCCUUAGAUGUUCUGGGCUGCACGCGUGCUACACUGAUAUUGCCAAUAUGUCAUUCUUAUCCGAAAUGGAUUGGGUAAUCAAGUAAUGAAAUUUCAUGCUUGGAAUCGGUAAUUGCAAUUUUAUCGUGAACGAGGAAUUCCUAGUAAGCACUAGUCAUCAGCUAAUGUUUAUUAUGUCCCUGCCCUUUGUACACACCGCCCGUCGCUACUACUGAUUGGGUGUUCAAGUGAGAUGCUUAGACCCUUGUUGCAUGGUUCAUUAUUGUGCUCCGAAAGGAAAAAGUUUCAAGCUUGAGUGUCUAGAGGAAGUAAAAGUCGUAACA